rnacentral:SRP_RNA from 1 species
CGGCGGGUCUUAGGCGGGGGGCUAGGGGUCCCCUGUACCGUAAACCCCCUAUACGACGGGCCGAAAGCUGAGGCUGAGGCGUCUGUGGCCGCCUAACCCCCACUUCCGAGGCUUUGACUACUCGUCCCCUAGGGCCGGCGGUCGCCAGGCGGUUUCCGUAGGGAAACCUGCCAUGGCGUUUGCCAGGCGAACCUGGCUAGGCCCGGGAGGGAGCAACCUAAGCCUGGACGUUCGGCGCUUAGGGGGGUGCGGGUACGAGCGUAGGGUUUGGAAGGUUGGGCGGAUUCUGGGCGUCGAACCUCAGUGACCCGCCG